rnacentral:rRNA from 1 species
GCGAAAGCGCCUUGCUGGACUGAAACUGACGCUGAGGGACGAAAGCCAGGGGAGCAAAUGGGAUUAGAUACCCCAGUAGUCCUGGCCGUAAACGAUGGAUACUAGGUGUAGCGGGUAUCGACCCCUGCUGUGCCGCAGCUAACGCGAUAAGUAUCCCGCCUGGGGAGUACGCACGCAAGUGUGAAACUCAAAGGAAUUGACGGGGACCCGCACAAGCGGUGGAACAUGUGGUUUAAUUCGAAGCAACGCGAAGAACCUUACCAGGACUUGACAUCUGAGGAAUCUUUCAGAAAUGAGAGAGUGCCUUCGGGAACCUCAAGACAGGUGGUGCACGGUUGUCGUCAGCUCGUGUCGUGAGAUGUUGGGUUAAGUCCCGCAACGAGCGCAACCCUCGUUGUUAGUUGCCAGUAACGGCAUGCUGUUACUGUGCUCUCUAGCGAGACUGCCGGUGAUAAACCGGAGGAAGGUGGGGAUGACGUCAAAUCAUCAUGCCCCUUAUGUCCUGGGCUACACACGUGUUACAAUGGGUGGGACAACGAGCAGCCAGCCAGCGAUGGUGAGCAAAUCUCUUAAACCCACUCCCAGUUCGGAUCGCAGUCUGCAACCCGACUGCGUGAAGUCGGAAUCGCUAGUAACCGUAGAUCAGCACGCUGCGGUGAAUACGUUCCCGGGUCUUGUACACACCGCCCGUCACACCAUGGGAGCUGACCACGCCCGAAGUCGGUGAGCUAACUCUCUG